rnacentral:rRNA from 1 species
CAGUCGCCGCGGUAAUACGAAGGGUGCAAGCGUUACCCGGAAUUACUGGGCGUAAAGCGCGCGUAGGUGGUUCGCCAAGUUGGAUGUGAAAUCCCCGGGCUCAACCUGGGAACUGCAUCCAAAACUGGCGAGCUAGAGUAUGGUAGAGGGUGGUGGAAUUUCCUGUGUAGCGGUGAAAUGCGUAGAUAUAGGAAGGAACAUCAGUGGCGAAGGCGACCACCUGGACUGAUACUGACACUGAGGUGCGAAAGCGUGGGGAGCAAACAGGAUUAGAUACCCCUGUAGUCCCUGUCUCUUAUAC